rnacentral:rRNA from 1 species
AUGGAAACGAGGGAAUGUCCACAAUACCCGGAUUUAGUCAGAUCCAAUUCGAGGGAAUUUGUAGGUUCAUUAAUCAAGCCUUGGCAGAAGAAAUUGACAAGUUUUGAUAGAGGCGAAGGUGCCCCGUCUUUCGAUGAGAUGGUGGCUUUCAUUUUGGAGGAAGUCGGCUUUGACGAUCCGACUACGAACGUGCGAGGACAUCAAUACAAUUGUUACACCGACAACCCAUGCUGCUAUACAUACUGGACCAAUUACUAG